CUUUUGGUGCCACCCUUUCUAGGAGUCUGGAGCCUCUGACUCUCUUGCUCUCCCACCAAUCCAACAGCGGUCGUGAGGAGCAAGGUUUGUGAGGGCUCUGCAGCUGCCUGAGGUCCUCAAAGUGUAGCUGCUGAGAUUUUGGCUCAGUAGUUACACAUGAUUUAGUCCAGCCUUAUUUGUUGUGUUGUUGUUUAUUUUUCAUUGCUAUCCAAUACACCUCCCACCAUUUCUUAGCCCUGAGUGAACUCUCACCCCACCAGUUGCCCGUCUUCUUUCUUCAUGGAGAAAAGGGAGAAGAAACCUGCCCAACGUCCACUCCUAGAGAGUGGCCAUCACCUCAUACCUGGUCCAGCAGUCUCCUCAUUCCAUUAUAAUGCUUCUUGCUUUGGGACACCAGAGGAGAAGGCUGAGGAACAGCAAAGUGCGUCCAUUUAAAGUUGAUUUUGAAGACCUAAGGCAAGGUGAAGGGAGGAGACAAGACAUGAGGACGCCAGAUGCCAACCUGAGACAGACUGUGGGGAAUCAGAGGAGACUUGACGGCCCAAAGACAGAAAGACUAGGACAAUCAUCUGGACUCCACAUGUGCAUGGAAUCAGCAAAUGACAAAUGUGUUUGGGGACACCUUCUUCCACUCCUGCCAUUCAUCAGCCACUUUCUAUGUAAGAAAUGAAGAUCUGAGAUGUCAUUAUUUAAAAGCCACUGGUCACUACCAUACAUGUGUACACUGACUUCUCCCACCUCAAACUUUUCCUGUACCAUCAGCACUGAUCAGAAGAAGUUAUAAAUUUUAGAAUUUGUAGUAAACUAAAACUAAACUUAA
rnacentral:lncRNA from 1 species